rnacentral:lncRNA from 1 species
UUUGAGGACUAAAAGACAAAAAAAAUAUAAUUGUUAAACAUUCAAGCCUCAGCCUGUCAUAGCCGGUCACUUUUGAUCGGCUAAUUGGUAAAAGUGUGCGUUUUGUAACGCAAUAUUAAGUUUGGGGUGUACUUAGAUAUCUUUUUAAGUUUGGGGUGCACAAAUAAAUAAGAAGUAAACUUUGGAGUACAUUUUGUCUUUUAGUCUAACAUAUAUUGACUGGUAAUGCUGCUUUUAUUAUAUAUAUAUAUAUAUAUAUAUAUAUAUAUAUAUAUAUAUAUAUAUAN